GUGGCGAACGGGUGAGUAACACGUGAGUAACCUGCCCUUGACUUCGGGAUAACAGUUGGAAACAGCUGCUAAUACCGGAUAUUCAACCUUGGACGCAUGUUUUUGGUUGGAAAGUUCCGGCGGUCAGGGAUGGACUCGCGGCCUAUCAGCUUGUUGGUGAGGUAAUGGCUCACCAAGGCGUCGACGGGUAGCCGGCCUGAGAGGGCGACCGGCCACAUUGGGACUGAGAUACGGCCCAAACUCCUACGGGAGGCAGCAGUGGGGAAUAUUGAUGCAGCAACGCCGCGUGCGGGAUGACGGCCUUCGGGUUGUAAACCGCUUUCAUCCAUGACGAAGCUUUUUGUGACGGUAGUGGAAGAAGAAGCACCGGCUAACUACGUGCCAGCAGCCGCGGUAGCGUUGUCCGGAUUUAUUGGGCGUAAAGAGCUUGUAGGCGGUUUGUCGCGUCUGCUGUGAAAAUCCGGGGCUCAACCCCGGACUUGCAGUGGGUACGGGCAGACUAGAGUGUGGUAGGGGAGACUGGAAUUCCUGGUGUAGCGGUGAAAUGCGCAGAUAUCAGGAGGAACACCGAUGGCGAAGGCAGGUCUCUGGGCCACUACUGACGCUGAGAAGCGAAAGCAUGGGGAGCGAACAGGAUUAGAUACCCUGGUAGUCCAUGCCGUAAACGUUGGGCGCUAGGUGUGGGCCUCAUUCCACGAGGUCCGUGCCGCAGCUAACGCAUUAAGCGCCCCGCCUGGGGAGUACGGCCGCAAGGCUAAAACUCAAAGGAAUUGACGGGGGCCCGCACAAGCGGCGGAGCAUGCGGAUUAAUUCGA
rnacentral:rRNA from 1 species